rnacentral:misc_RNA from 1 species
GCAAACUUGGUCAUUUAGAGGAAGUAAAAGUCGUAACAAGGUUUCCGUAGGUGAACCUGCGGAAGGAUCAUUAAAGAUUUAGUAAAUCCUAUCAUCCGUGUACGAUCUGCGAAGUCCGAUAUCCUUGGAGAGAUCAUCAUCUGUGAACUCUCCAAGGAGGUUAUCACGAUCAAUGCAUUUUUUUUCCUUUCUUUACUUAAGAAUAUUGUUGUCUAAAAAAUCAUCUAAAUAAAACAACUUUCAACAACGGAUCUCUUGGCUCUCGCAUCGAUGAAGAACGCAGC